GGCCUGGUAGCUCAGUUGGUAGAGCAGAGGAUUGAAAAUCCUUGUGUCGGUGGUUCGAUUCCGCCCCGGGCCACCA
rnacentral:tRNA from 179 species